AAGCCUAUGAUGAGGACACUGUCGAAGUAAUUCUUUGUAUCUUUCCCAAGCCUCAUACAACGAUUCAAAAUCUUGCUGCAUGAAUGAGUGAUGUCAUUUUGCAU
rnacentral:snoRNA from 1 species